GGGGAAAAGAAUCAAUUUGCCAGCAUGCAACAGUAACUAAUUUUUUUCAUCCCCGGGUGCAUCCAGCUCGGUUGGUACAACACAUUCAGGUCAAGGAUAUAACUACUAAAGUCUAAAGCUCAACAGAAACAAGAUGCAGGCAUGUGUAGUUAACAGCAGCCACAACAACAUUUGAAUUCAGUUUCUGCCUACCAAAGCUAAGUAGUGGCAUGAUAUCAAUGCCACAGUUUCGAACUAGCAGUUAUGUAAACUAAAAGUAACAGCCCCAAGAUUUAACAUGCAUUUUACAUAACAGCCCUAUGAUUUAACAAAGUACAACAAACAACAAUUCAGGGAAGGGCAUAAAAGACAGUUCUGGUGUCCAACAACACCACGGUUGAUACACCCUUCUCUCCAUAAGCACGCACAGACAAUUGUAGCGAUGUUUUCCUGUUGGGGUUCAUCUCCCUCUCCUCAGGAGCAUUGCCGAUCCUAAUCCUGAACAAUUGGGUCAGCAAUGUACCCAAAAAAAUAAACAAACAGUUACAAAAGUAAUAGUCACAUAGAGAAACAAAAAUAGAUGCAGGUGAAGUUUGAAGAUGAUUCAAACAAUCCGUUACAGAAAUCAUUAGACUACUGGGUCAUCUCCCUUCUCGACAUAUUGGUCUCAUUGACAAUUCCAUCGCAUUCUUCCUGUUAACAUUUGCCUUACCUAACUAAGAGACACCAAUGCAUAAAAGCUCACACUCAUGGCGGUGUCAUAAACACUUCCAUAGAUUAAACAUGACAUGAAAUCAUUUACACUCAUGGCGGUGUCAACUGCUCGCAGAAAUGUGAAUUUUAACAGGCUGGCAUGCAAGAACGAAAUGAUCACCCCAAUGCCUCACAAAUUACCUAUUCAUAUUCAACAGGAGUGUAUGAUCUAGAAAUAUACAUCAUUUACAAAGAAUCUUCAAACUUGAUGACAUGAAUGAUAAUUCAUCAUCAGACCAUUGAGAAUCUGGUAGAUCACAUAUAAAAAAACUUAAGCUAACCAAGAAAUGUGGGUGUAUUCAAAAUCUAACCAAGAACAAGGCCGGCACAUACUAUGUUCAGAAUUAAUGGUUUUUUGGAUGAGGAAAUUUUAAUCUGAAACACCUUCUGGUCCAGCCACUUGUAGCUCCGCAACCAGCGUAUCUGACAAGGGAUGUGGCCUCGCCGCCACGACACACUUGACCAUCAACGUUGCUCAAGUCUGUGACUCCUGGGAAAGUGGUCAACGAAACAAACUGAAAUCCAUGGAACAGAAGAUUUUUGCAAUCAGUGGUAGGAAUUCAAACUCUACCCCACUUAAGAAAUAAUUAUUAACCUUGGAUUAGCACAUCAAGAACAGAACAUCAAAUCCAUUAUUAAGUUCCAGCAGGAUUAAGCAUCAAUUAUCCAAGUUAGAGGAAUCCUCAAGACAUCACAGAAAUUAAGUCAAUCUGGCACAUAAGCAUGGGUACGAAUAAAAAACAACAUAUAUAUUGUCUAUAAAAACAUCACGGCAAAUUUGGAUCUGCGCAGCAACAGGAUGAGGAGAGAUCUAUCCAGUCCAGACGAAGGGGAUUACAAACAAACAAAAGAAAAUCGCAUAUGUACAGAAGGAAUAGAAGGAAGGGGAUUACAAGAAAACAAAGGAGAGCAGUCUAUUUUGGAUUUAACAGCAGAAGUGAUAUGCAUCUCGAUCGAGCCAUACAGCUAGAUCACCCGUCUCAAAAGGAUAGAUGGAACAAAAUAAAAAUCACCAAAAAAAGUGCAAAUCUGGAACAGAUGAUCAACAGCUAGGAGAAAAGCACAAGUAAUUGACGUGUGAUCCAGCCUCACCGACCAAAAAAAUGAAGAAAAUGAAUUUUCCCGGCCACAUUCGUGGACGAGGGCCUUGCCCUGGGCAGAUCCGGUGUUCUGCAAACUUGAGUUGAGUCGCCGCUGGAGUGGAAGAUGACGCGGGAUCCGGGUGAUUUGGUCGCCGGAGUGGAGGAGGACGAGUGCUCCGGAGAGCCUGAACCUGUACAAAUCAAGCUCCCUUGGUCAACGUUAUUCAAAUUUGGCACGGGGAUUAGGCACACACGAUGACCUAAGAAAAAAAAAGAAGGCACGGAAUACACAUACCCGGCGCAGUCGCCGCCGUUGGUGGACAUCUCGCCGGAUAGCACCCCGCCGCCGUCGCCCGGGGGGAAAGAGAAGAGGGCAGAGAGGACUGGGGCUUCUCCACGGGGUAAAGUUUUGGGAUAGGGGACGACGAGAUUCUCCUUCCUGUGCUGUGGCGGGGGGCAGUCGCGGUCAAUGGGCCGCACAGAAUACGCCUACACACUCCCUAGGCGUAUCGCGGGCUGUAUUUCUCUGCAUAGGCCUGCCACCCACUGACGAGAUGCACAUCCCAAGGCCCAAAUGGACGCCCA
rnacentral:lncRNA from 1 species